UGGGUAAUAUUGGACAAUGGGCGCAAGCCUGAUCCAGCCAUGCCGCGUGAGUGAUGAAGGCCCUAGGGUUGUAAAGCUCUUUCACCGGUGAAGAUAAUGACGGUAACCGGAGAAGAAGCCCCGGCUAACUUCGUGCCAGCAGCCGCGGUAAUACGAAGGGGGCUAGCGUUGUUCGGAUUUACUGGGCGUAAAGCGCACGUAGGCGGACUAUUAAGUCAGGGGUGAAAUCCCGGGGCUCAACCCCGGAACUGCCUUUGAUACUGGUAGUCUUGAGUUCGAGAGAGGUGAGUGGAAUUCCGAGUGUAGAGGUGAAAUUCGUAGAUAUUCGGAGGAACACCAGUGGCGAAGGCGGCUCACUGGCUCGAUACUGACGCUGAGGUGCGAAAGCGUGGGGAGCAAACAGG
rnacentral:rRNA from 1 species